rnacentral:rRNA from 1 species
GAUGAACGCUGGCGGCGUGCUUAACACAUGCAAGUCGAACGAAGCACUUUAAUCGAUUUCUUCGGAUUGAAAUUUUAGUGACUGAGUGGCGGACGGGUGAGUAACGCGUGGAUAACCUGCCUCACACAGGGGGAUAACAGUUAGAAAUGACUGCUAAUACCGCAUAAGCGCACAGUACCGCAUGGUAUAGUGUGAAAAACUCCGGUGGUGUGAGAUGGAUCCGCGUCUGAUUAGGUAGUUGGUGAGGUAACGGCCCACCAAGCCGACGAUCAGUAGCCGACCUGAGAGGGUGACCGGCCACAUUGGGACUGAGACACGGCCCAGACUCCUACGGGAGGCAGCAGUGGGGAAUAUUGGGCAAUGGGCGCAAGCCUGACCCAGCAACGCCGCGUGAAGGAAGAAGGCUUUCGGGUUGUAAACUUCUUUUAAGAGGGAAGAGCAGAAGACUGUACCUCUAGAAUAAGCCACGGCUAACUACGUG